rnacentral:tRNA from 1 species
UCCCUGGAGGACUAGUGGUUAGGCCACAGUGCUCUCACCGCUGCGGCCCAGGUUCCAUUCUCAUGCAGGGAA